UUUAAAUAUUGUAUUGUUUAAACUGUCUUCUUCCAAAAUCGGGAAAAUCAUAUGAUCUGCCACUGUAGUAGACUUUAUUGCUGUUCAAUGCAUUUUUUUUAAGUAAAAGCAAAGCAAAUUUAGCAGCAAAUCCCCCCCACAGAAUACACCAUGUAUAGACUUAAAGAGUUUAUUAAUUAGUAAUAUUUUAUUUGGUUUUUACACUCUACUGAAAAGAUGAAAGAGAGGAGCCAAGCUAGUAAACAAUGAUUGAAGGCACAGAACUCUGAUCGGACUUGAAUAUUUACUAUUUUAAAAACAACAGUAUAAUAUUGGCAAGAAUUAAAAGGUGGAUUUUGAGUCUUACACAAUCAGAGUCAAAUAUAUAUAUUCUUUAAGGCACUAAAUAAAAUGCCUCUUAGUUAAGGGCCAUUUUAGAAGGAAAUUGUCCCUGUGACUGAAUUCAAUUGAUAAAAGUAUAUUCAUUCCACAUUUAACAAUAUUAUCAAAUAGCUACAGAGCAACAGAUACAAUCUCUGGCACUAAAAUAAAAUGGCAAGCUAAAACUGACAUGAUCUCUACCCAUAUGGAGAAUGUCGGAAGUGGUUGCAAAGUGUGUGUAAAGAUGCCCCCUUGCAAACCUGUGAAGUAAGGUUGCCUGGUUCUGUAGCAGCACGGAGCAUGUCACAUAAACAGCGCGUACAACGAAGCCCUUGGGGCUGGAGAAAACGUGAAGAGGGCUGGGGCAGGGGGUGUAUGUUGUUGCAACUCAGGGCUGCAGAGAUCUGGGAGGCCAUCCCUUUUAAAGUUUACAACUACGUCAGCAUCUGCCAUGUGUAAACAGUAUGAUCAGCAUAGAGGGAGAAGCCAGUGAGAAGAAAGAACAUUUUUUCCACAGAUAAUUCUGAAAAGGUAAGUGUUCUUUUUUCUAUGUGAAAAGAAAUUGAAAGAGUGUAAGAGAUAAAUGCUUGGCUCCUAAAUGUUAUUUAUUCAUUCAAAUAAUAGCUGGUAUAUAUUAAGGCAGUGGAAAUAAGCAAUGCACAUACGAGACAAAAGUUCUUAUGUUCACUUUGUUUUCAUUCCAGUGUAUGUUUAUGUGUGUGUGUGGGGGGGUAAUAAGUACAUUUAACAAGUAAACCAUAUAGCAUGAUAGAUGGUAUUUAGUUGUGUAGGAAAAAGGAAUUAAGAAGGCUAAAUGGGGGCACCUGGGUGGCUCUGUUGGUUAAGUGUCUGACUUUGGCUCAGGUCAUGAUCUUGCGGUUUGUGAUGUUGAGGCCCACGGUGGGCUCUGUGCUGACAGCUCAGAGCCUGGAGCUUGGUUCUGAUUCUGUGUCUCUCUUUCUAUCUGCCCCUCCCCACUCAUACUCUUUCUCUCUCUCUCAAAAAUAAACAUUUUAGAGAUUAAAAAAAAUAAAAGAUA
rnacentral:lncRNA from 1 species